UACGUAGGGGGCAAGCGUUGUCCGGAAUCAUUGGGCGUAAAGCGCGCGUAGGCGGCCCCGUAAGUCCGCUGUGAAAGUCAAAGGCUCAACCUUUGAAAGCCGGUGGAUACUGUGGGGCUAGAGUCCGGAAGAGGCGAGUGGAAUUCCUGGUGUAGCGGUGGAAUGCGCAGAUAUCAGGAGGAACACCAAUAGCGAAGGCAGCUCGCUGGGACGGUACUGACGCUAAGGCGCCAAAGCGUGGGGAGCGAACAGG
rnacentral:rRNA from 1 species